rnacentral:misc_RNA from 1 species
AUUUUGCUUCCCGUGGAAGCAAUAAAUCAAUCUCUGCUGAUAACAAUACGCAGAAAAUGGUGUAUUUCUUCUUCAGUGCUUGAGCCAAAACCCUCGAAGAAUUCACUCAAUGGAGGAUAAACCAGCGGGGACCUCAGCCGCGGCGGGGAUGGAGUCACCGGCGUCGGCCGAGCCCGCAUCGUCACGGCGGCGAGCCGGAGGGCAAAAGAGGAAAGGCAACGCGCUCUCAACAUCCAGUUCUUCAUCUACACCGUCGAAACGGGUCACACGCGAGAAGGGCCUGAUCUCUCACCCUCCGAUCCACAAUGGAGGUCCGUUGACCAGAGCGCGCCAGAGCCCCAACAAUUUGGCCCCUUUGGCUUCUGCCGGGUUGGCCGCUGCUGGAUUUAAGCUAGAGGAGAAGGUGGCUUUUUUCGGCGUCGGAGGCUGCGACGGUAGCAGCACUGGAGGAGGAGGUGAGUAAGUUAGAGGAGUUGCAGGCAGCAAUAGAACUGGAGUUUGAGGGAAUUAGAUCUAGAGAUUCUAACGCCCAUGUGGUUCCUAGUCAUUGCGGUUGGUUUUCAUGGACAAAAAUUCACCUCCUUGAGGAGCGAUCACUGCCUUCAUUCUUUAAUGGGAAGUCCCAAACCCGGACACCUGAUACCUACAGGGAGAUACGUAAUUGGAUUGUGAAAAAAU